rnacentral:rRNA from 1 species
AUACGUAGGGUGCAAGCGUUAAUCGGAAUUACUGGGCGUAAAGCGUGCGCAGGCGGUUUUGUAAGACAGAGGUGAAAUCCCCGGGCUCAACCUGGGAACUGCCUUUGUGACUGCAAGGCUAGAGUACGGCAGAGGGGGAUGGAAUUUCGCGUGUAGCAGUGAAAUGCGUAGAUAUGCGGAGGAACACCGAUGGCGAAGGCAAUCCCCUGGGCCUGUACUGACGCGCAUGCACGAAAGCGUGGGGAGCAAACAGGAUUAGAUACCCUGGUAGUCCACGCCCUAAACGAUGUCAACUGGUUGUUGGGUCUUCAUUGACUCAGUAACGAAGCUAACGCGUGAAGUUGACCGCCUGGGGAGUACGGCAGCAAGGUUGAAACUCAAAUGAAUUGGCGGGG